rnacentral:rRNA from 1 species
GACGGAGGGGGCAAGCGUUGUCCGGACUCACUGGGCGUAAAGGGUGCGUAGGCGGUCUUGUGCGUCGGCGCUGAAAUCACACGGCUCAACCGUGUGGCGCGUGCCGAUACGACGAGACUUGAGGCUCUGAGAGGGUGGCGGAACUCCUGGUGUAGUGGUGAAAUGCGUAGAUAUCCGGAGGAAUACCAAAGGCGAAGGCAGUGUCCUGGCUGGCAUCUGACGCUGAGGCGCGAAAGCUAGGGGAGCGAACAGG